rnacentral:rRNA from 1 species
CCUACGGGAGGCAGCAGUAGGGAAUAUUCCACAAUGGGGGAAACCCUGAUGCAGCGACGCCGCGUGAGUGAAGAAGUAUUUCGGUAUGUAAAGCUCUGUCAGCAGGGAAGAAAAUGACGGUACGUGACCAAGAAGCGCCGGCUAACUACGUGCCAGCAGCCGCGGGCAUACGUAGGGCGCAAGCGUUAUCCGGAUUUACUGGGUGUAAAGGGAGCGUAGACGGGAGGGCAAGGCUGGAGUGAAAGGCGGGGGGUCAACCCCCGGACUGCUCUGGAAACUGGCAGGCUGGAGUGCAGGAGAGGUAAGUGGAAUUCCUAGUGUAGCGGUGAAAUGCGUAGAUAUUAGGAGGAACACCAGUGGCGAAGGCGGCUUACUGGACUGUAACUGACGCUGAGGCUCGAAAGCGUGGGGAGCAAACAGGAUUAGAUACCCGAGUAGUC